rnacentral:rRNA from 1 species
AGAGUGAACGCUGGCGGUAGGCCUAACACAUGCAAGUCGAACGGCAGCACAGUGGUAGCAAUACCAUGGGUGGCGAGUGGCGGACGGGUGAGGAAUACAUCGGAAUCUACCUUUUCGUGGGGGAUAACGUAGGGAAACUUACGCUAAUACCGCAUACGCCCUUCGGGGGAAAGCCGGGGAUCGCAAGACCUGGCGCGGAUAGAUGAGCCGAUGUCGGAUUAGCUAGUUGGUGAGGUAAUGGCUCACCAAGGCGACGAUCCGUAGCUGGUCUGAGAGGAUGAUCAGCCACACUGGAACUGAGACACGGUCCAGAC